rnacentral:rRNA from 1 species
GACGGAGGAUGCAAGUGUUAUCCGGAAUCACUGGGCGUAAAGCGUCUGUAGGUGGUUUAAAAAGUCUACUGUUAAAAAUUGAAGCUUAACUUCAAAGAUGCCGUAGAAACUUUUAAACUCGAGGAUGGUAGGGGUAGAGGGAAUUUCCAGUGGAGCGGUGAAAUGCGUAGAUCUUGGAAAGACCACCAAUGGCGAAGGCACUCUACUGGGCCAUUACUGACACUAAGAGACGAAAGCUAGGGGAGCAAAUGGG